CUGAAGGUAGAAACUGGCAACCCUCUAUAACACUCACAAUGAUGCAACUAUGGGUUCUUCUGGAUUGGAGGCACUGCAGUACCUGGAGUACAUCUCUUGAAGAGAUAGCUGUGCUGAAAUAGAAAACCAAACUAUAAAUGGAGGCAUUCCAAGAAGUAAAAAUUGUGCUAAAUACAAAGUUGGAAUAUAGAAUUACCACAACAUGGGAGAGUUUAUCAGCACUGCACAGGCCUGUGACUCUCAAGUUUAAACCUGGGGUUCAAGACUUAUUGAUGGAAGUGAAUACUCCUUUCUGUGAUGUUCCCCAGCACUGCCAGGGGAAGCAGGACAGCCUUUUGAUGAACUCUUGGAGUAGGAAGGUAGGAAACAUACCUCUGUUGAAUAACUUGACCAAGAUCUCACAGCUGGCGUUAUUAACCUUAUUUCAGGCUGAAGAAAAUUUGGCAGAACGUACUGAAAUAAAUCAGCAGCACUGCAAAGAAAAAGACUGAAGCUGGCAUGCUGAAAUUUGGGCUUGUGGCCUUGUAUUUGGAGGCCCAGCAGGUGUAUUUUGAGUCCUUCCAUGUAAAAAAAUGUGAUCCUAGAAUAGCACUGCAUAUAUUCCACUCAGAUUAAUGAUCUCUAGGUAAUCAAAAACAUGGCCCUAUGCAGUUAAAUUCAACUCAGAUUAAUGAUCUCUAGGUAAUCAAAAACAUGGCCCUAUGCAGUUAAAUGUCAUCUGGACCUAAGUUAGGAGCACUAGAUUUCUUUUAAUGACAGGAGACUUUAAAUCAAGAAGUGCUUGGUCAAAAGCUCUAUUGAAGAUUGUUUUCUGUGGAUGUGUAUCUUAUGGCUGAUGGCUCCAUUAAGUGAGUGGUGCAAACACAUCUUCUAGUCUCAAGCUUCUUUUUACUUUUGCCUCUGGUGAAUGCUCAAGAAUACAGAGGUUAUUAUAACAAGACAGUAGUAGCUUGAAUAA
rnacentral:lncRNA from 1 species